GGGGCUGCACUGGUUUCGACAUGGGUUCGGACGCGUGGCAGGGCAUGUCGAGGUUCUGAUCCUCGUUAAUCUUCGGAAAAAAAACUAACUGCAAACGACGAACGUUUCGCACUCGCCGCUUAAUCCGGUGAGCCUUGCAACAGUUGGCCGAUAGGCUGGGUCAGGGUGAUGAGGGUGUUAAAGCCCUCAAAGUCCUGGCUGCAAGGUAAAACAUAUGGGCUGGCAUCACCUCGGGUACCUUGGGGUGGUGUGAGAAAAAAGGGUGCUGGCUGGGUGUUCAGCGUGUCGCUGCGCGGUUCAUUUGGCGAGACUCAAAUCAGACGACUACACAUGUAGAACUGUACGAAAAAGACUUAUGGACGGGGGUUCAAAUCCCCCCAGCUCCACCA
rfam:Limnohabitans planktonicus II-D5 scaffold00001, whole genome shotgun sequence.